rnacentral:rRNA from 1 species
UACGUAGGGUGCAAGCGUUAAUCGGAAUUACUGGGCGUAAAGCGUGCGCAGGCGGUGAUGUAAGACAGUUGUGAAAUCCCCGGGCUCAACCUGGGAACUGCAUCUGUGACUGCAUCGCUGGAGUGCGGCAGAGGGGGAUGGAAUUCCGCGUGUAGCAGUGAAAUGCGUAGAUAUGCGGAGGAACACCGAUGGCGAAGGCAAUCCCCUGGGCCUGCACUGACGCUCAUGCACGAAAGCGUGGGGAGCAAAAGGG